rnacentral:tRNA from 1 species
GGUUGUGGCUCGGCGGUAGAGCACUUGCCUGGUAUGUGCAAGGCCCUGGGUUCGAUCCUUAGCACCA